rnacentral:rRNA from 1 species
GACGAACGCUGGCGGCGUGCUUAACACAUGCAAGUCGAACGGAAAGGCCCUGCUUGCAGGGUACUCGAGUGGCGAACGGGUGAGUAACACGUGGGUGAUCUGCCCUGCACUUCGGGAUAAGCCUGGGAAACUGGGUCUAAUACCGGAUAGGAGCCAUUUUUAGUGUGGUGGUUGGAAAGUUUUUUCGGUGUAGGAUGAGCUCGCGGCCUAUCAGCUUGUUGGUGGGGUAAUGGCCUACCAAGGCGGCGACGGGUAGCCGGCCUGAGAGGGUGGACGGCCACAUUGGGACUGAGAUACGGCCCAGACUCCUACGGGAGGCAGCAGUGGGGAAUAUUGCACAAUGGGCGCAAGCCUGAUGCAGCGACGCCGCGUGGGGGAUGACGGCCUUCGGGUUGUAAACUCCUUUCGCUAGGGACGAAGCGUUUGUGACGGUACCUAGAUAAGAAGCACCGGCUAACUACGUG